rnacentral:tRNA from 5 species
GCGCUCGUAGCUCAGUUGGAUAGAGCAACGGCCUUCUAAGCCGUAGGUCGGAGGUUCGAUUCCUCUCGAGCGUACCA